rnacentral:piRNA from 1 species
GAGUAGGCGACACAAGUUGCUGUGA